rnacentral:ncRNA from 18 species
ACCGGGCGGAGCCGCGAAGGUAUAGAGUCAGCAAAAGCCAGUACACGGGGAACCCGGUGCAAGUCCGGGACGGUCGCGCCACUGUGAACCAUACCGCCGCCACCAGCGGCGGAAUGGCAGUCAGAGCACCGUGACCGGCUGUAGGACACGUGCU